GCGGAUCUUCUGGAAUAAGAGGCGCGAUUUGCGAGUCCAGCCACAUGUGUCAGACAGACAGACGACCUUGUGAAGACAGACAGACGGGCCAAUGACCGUAAGAGGCUAGACAGGCAGACAGACGUUAGACAGGUAAAAUCAGCGACCAUGAAAGUCUAGACACACGGAGACCAGACAGACAGGCAGGCAGGCAGGCAGGCAGAAAACCUUGAAAAGCCAUACUGAUGGGGAAAAAUGUCCCGAGGCUGGACAGGCAGACAAACGACUUUGGGAAGCUAGGCAGGGUAUAAUAGUUGUUGACAAACCAUAAAACGAGACAUUGGAUCUUGAGUACUGAGAAGAUUGACCCCCGAGUAAAAAUGGUGUUUUUUAGAAUUCAAAAUUUUAUCGAGGAGUCGUAAAAACCGAUUAUUGAAGAAUUUUUCAUUGCUGUAUCGUUUGACAAACGAAAAGAACUGAGCAGUUGCGUUUCCAAGUGCAUAA